AUACUUACCUGGCAAGGGAGAAACUGUGAUUAAGAAGGCAGUUCACCCAGGGUGAGGCUCAGCCAUUGCACUCCGGCUGUGCUGACCCCUGCGAAUUUCCCAAAUGUGGAAAUCUCGAUUGCAUAGC
ensembl:snRNA U1 U1 spliceosomal RNA